GGGGGGGGGGGGGGGCGGGGGGAGGGCGGGCAAGUCGAGCGAACCUUUCGGGGGUGGGGGCGGGCGGGGGGGGAACACGUGGGAACGGGCCUUUAGGUGCGGAAUAACUCAGGGAAACUUGUGCUAAUACCGAAUGUGCCCUUCGGGGGAAAGAUUUAUCGCCUUUAGAGCGGCCCGCGUCUGAUUAGCUAGUUGGUUGAGGUAAUGGCUCACCAAGGCGACGAUCAGUAGCUGGUCUGAGAGGAUGAUCAGCCACAUUGGGACUGAGACACGGCCCAAACUCCUACGGGAGGCAGCAGUGGGGAAUCUUGCGCAAUGGGCGAAAGCCUGACGCAGCCAUGCCGCGUGAAUGAUGAAGGUCUUAGGAUUGUAAAAUUCUUUCACCGGGGACGAUAAUGACGGUACCCGGAGAAGAAGCCCCGGCUAACUUCGUG
rnacentral:rRNA from 1 species